rnacentral:rRNA from 1 species
AUUGAACGCUGGCGGCAUGCCUUACACAUGCAAGUCGAACGGCAGCACGGGAGCAAUCCUGGUGGCGAGUGGCGAACGGGUGAGUAAAGUAUCGGAACGUGCCCAGUCGUGGGGGAUAACGUAGCGAAAGUUACGCUAAUACCGCAUACGAUCUAUGAAUGAAAGCGGGGGAUCGCAAGACCUCGCGCGAUUGGAGCGGCCGAUAUCAGAUUAGGUAGUUGGUGGGGUAAAUGCUCACCAAGCCGACGAUCUGUAGCUGGUCUGAGAGGACGACCAGCCACACUGGGACUGAGACACGGCCCAGACUCCUACGGGAGGCAGCAGUGGGGAAUUUUGGACAAUGGGCGCAAGCCUGAUCCAGCCAUGCCGCGUGCAGGAUGAAGGCCUUCGGGUUGUAAACUGCUUUUGUACGGAACGAAAAGGUUUGGCUUAAUACGUUGAACUCAUGACGGUACCGUAAGAAUAAGCACCGGCUAACUACGUGCCAGCAGCCGCCGUAA